rnacentral:rRNA from 1 species
CCUACGGGGGGCAGCAGUGAGGAAUAUUGGUCAAUGGGCGAGAGCCUGAACCAGCCAAGUCGCGUGAGGGAGUACUGCCCUAUGGGUUGUAAACUUCUUUUGUCAAGGGACAAAAUCAGGCUCGAGAGCCUGACCGAGGGUACUUGAAGAAAAAGCAUCGGUUAACUCCGUGCCAGCAGCCGCGGUACUACGGAGUAUGCGAGCGUUAUCCGGAUUUAUGGGGUUUAAAGGGUGCGUAGGGGGCCUGUUAAGUCAGCGGUAAAAGCCCGGGGCUAAACCCCGGCGCGCCGUUGAAACUGGCUGUCUUGAGAUGUCGAGAGGUAUGCGGAAUGCGCAGUGUAGCGGUGAAAUGCUUAGAUAUUGCGCAGAACUCCGAUUGCGAAGGCAGCAUACCGGCGGCGAUCUGACGCUGAGGCACGAAAGCGUGGGUAUCGAACAGGAUUAGAUACCCGGGUAGUC